UACGUAGGGUGCAAGCGUUGUCCGGAAUUAUUGGGCGUAAAGAGCUCGUAGGCGGUCUGUCGCGUCGGAUGUGAAAACCCAGGGCUCAACCCUGGGUCUGCAUUCGAUACGGGUAGACUAGAGUUCGGUAGGGGAGACUGGAAUUCCUGGUGUAGCGGUGAAAUGCGCAGAUAUCAGGAGGAACACCGGUGGCGAAGGCGGGUCUCUGGGCCGAAACUGACGCUGAGGAGCGAAAGCGUGGGGAGCAAACAGG
rnacentral:rRNA from 1 species